ensembl:lncRNA
AUGUAAGCCACGCUCUGGCUUCUCAAGGGGCUUGGUAUCCUUUGAUGUGUCUGUACUACUGGGGCUGGGGUGAGUAGAAGGUUUCUUCCCUUGUUUCUACCCUUUUCAUGUAAAAGUAGAAAAGCAAAAAGAAUGGGAAAUGUACCUUCUUUGGGAGGAAUGCUUUUGUAAGAAGAGUAAAGUGUUGGAAGUCAGAGCUGGGUCUGAAUCAGAGAUAUCUCAGUUAAAAGUAGCACCUCCACCAGAGCUGAAAACCGGUUUCUUCUCUCACCUCUUCCUCCUGCUGAGUCUCAACCUUCUCCUGAAUCAUGGUUGUGGAGCCAGUUCACUGAGAUCUCGUGGAGACACAAGCUGAGAAACCCCACACGUCCUCUGGGGAAACUGUGUCAGCCGGCGCCUAUCCCACUGGCGGAUUCUUUACCAGCUGAGCCACAAGGGAAGCGGGAGUUCUGAACUGUCACGGAGUGGUCCACAUGGUGUGCAAAAGGAGGCAGAGAAGCGUGCAGCAACAACACCCCACACUGAUGGCAAAUACCUGCAGCUGGAAUAGCCCAGCAUCGCCACAGAAUCACAGUGGAUGGUGAUUCACGUUUGCAAGUCAGCCUGGAUUUCAAACAUCGACAUUUCCUGAUAAGUUCAUGGCAUUCCCGUGAGCCAGACUCCUUCUCCACCUGGGGAUCAGAAAAAGUCACAACAGCCAGCAGAGUCACCUUGGUGGAUUCUUUACCAGCUGAGCCACAAGAGAAGCCCACUUCUUCUGUGAAAACACAGACAAACUGCUCAUCCUGACUCAGCCUGGCAGCCUCUAGGGCAAAGCCAGCUCUGAUGUCCAGUGCCAGCGCACACCCUCCCACGGUGAGGCCUACAACCUCCAGCCUGGGCCCAGGCACAGGGCCACACGCACGAGUUCUGCAGGCCCCUGGCCACGCGGCGCACGAGGGGGGGUGGUGUGGGGGUUCUUGGCUCCCUCUCUGUGGCAGCCCCAAACCCCACCUCCAGGGCUUCAGAGCCUUCACACCUUUCCUCCCCUGGCCUGUGAGAUUCUUUCCCAUGAAAGGAUCGAAGCUCCUUCAUCCUACAUCCAAGGCAGACAUGAUGAGCUCAGCUGGAGCCCUCACUGCUCCAGAAGAUGCCCAGGGAUCUGAACCUGAAGCUGAAAGAGGGAGCCCCUCUGUUUCUGUGCAGUUUGGGGUGCCUCCUUCCCAGCCCUCUGUCCCUUUUGUCCCCUUGUGCUGAAGAUGCAGGGGGCAAAGAGCAUUCCAAGUGGGCCUGAGGAUGGGAGAGCCAUGCAGACAGGGCUGUCCACACACUCUCCCCACCUGAAAUCUUCAUCACCCACCUCCUGCCCAGCGCCCACCUUCUCUCUCACCAUUCCCUUUCAUCCCCUCCUGAGUUCCUGCCAGAACCGCCCAGUGACCACAUCUGACCAUGCCAGGCUCCUUCAGGCCUCACGUACGUGGCCUAGCCAUCCCAGGCCCAGGUGAGACACCUGGUCUACAGAGCUCCCUCCGUGAGGGCGGGACCAUGUCUUGGUCUUGGAACCCGCUCCCUCCCCGCCCCCCCCAGUGCCGGCCACAAAGUUCCGGGUUCAGAGUACGUGUUCACAAAAUACUGACCAACUUUAUUAGCACCAGCUGUGUAACCCGCAGUCUGCACCGUCCAAAGCACAAUGCUCUUAGCCUUUGGCAACUUAACAAGCCAGGAGGAGAAACCGAGAGACCAACCCCACCUGACAAGAGAGGAGCUCACUGAAUAGGACACACAAAUAAAGAAGAUUCAAGAAAACACAAGAGCAACAAAAUGCAACUAGAGUUUCUACUACCUCCAAAGCGAGGCAUGCCCACCGAUUCAUUUGUCUGAAUGCAGG